rnacentral:rRNA from 1 species
GAAUUGAAGAGUUUGAUCAUGGCUCAGAUUGAACGCUGGCGGCAGGCCUAACACAUGCAAGUCGAACGGUAACAGGAAACAGCUUGCUGUUUCGCUGACGAGUGGCGGACGGGUGAGUAAUGUCUGGGAAACUGCCUGAUGGAGGGGGAUAACUACUGGAAACGGUAGCUAAUACCGCAUAA